UAAAGCCCUGUCGAGUGGGAAAAAUGGUCAUUGGAAUAAUACGCCAGUGAAUUGAUGGUACCACUAGAGGAAGCACCGGCUAACUCCGUGC
rnacentral:rRNA from 1 species